rnacentral:rRNA from 1 species
UCGGGAAUUUUGGGCAAUGGGCGAAAGCCUGACCCAGCAACGCCGCGUGAAGGAUGAAAUCCUUCGGGAUGUAAACUUCGCAAGAACGGGAAGAAUAAGUAAGAGCUAACAUCUCUUAUGAUGACGGUACUGUUUGUAAGCUCCGGCUAACUCCGUGCCAGCAGCCGCGGUAAUACGGGGGGAGCAAGCGUUGUUCGGAUUUACUGGGCGUAAAGGGCGCGUAGGCGGCCACCGCAAGUCAGUUGUGAAAUCUCUGGGCUUAACCCAGAACGGUCAAUUGAUACUGCGGGGCUAGAGUGCAGAAGGGGCAACUGGAAUUCUCGGUGUAGCGGUGAAAUGCGUAGAUAUCGAGAGGAACACCUGCGGCGAAGGCGGGUUGCUGGGCUGACACUGACGCUGACAGCGCGAAAGCUAGGGGAGCGAACGGGAUUAGAUACCCGUGUAGUCC